rnacentral:rRNA from 1 species
GACGAACGCUGGCGGCGUGCUUAACACAUGCAAGUCGAACGGUAAGGCCCUUCGGGGUACACGAGUGCGAACGGGUGAGUAACAUGUGGGUGAUCUGCCCUGCACUUCGGGAUAAGCCUGGGAAACUGGGUCUAAUACCGGAUAGGACCACUGCCUGCAUGGGUGGUGGUGGAAAGCUUUUGCGGUGUGGGAUGGGCCCGCGGCCUAUCAGCUUGUUGGUGGGGUGAUGGCCUACCAAGGCGACGACGGGUAGCCGGCCUGAGAGGGUGACCGGCAACACUGGGACUGAGAUACGGCCCAGACUCCUACGGGAGGCAGCAGUGGGGAAUAUUGCACAAUGGGCGCAAGCCAGAUGCAGCGACGCCGCGUGAGGGAUGACGGCCUUCGGGUUGUAAACCUCUUUCAGCACCGACGAAGCGCAAGUGACGGUAGGUGCAGAAGAAGGACCGGCCAACUACGUGCCAGCCGCCGCAGUAAGAC